GCUCAGGAUGAACGCUGGCGGCGUGCCUAAUACAUGCAAGUCGAGCGAACAGACGAGGAGCUUGCUCCUYUGACGUUAGCGGCGGACGGGUGAGUAACACGUGGAUAACCUACCUAUAAGACUGGGAUAACUUCGGGAAACCGGAGCUAAUACCGGAUAACAUGUUGAACCGCAUGGUUCAACAGUGAAAGACGGUCUUGCUGUCACUUAUAGAUGGAUCCGCGCCGCAUUAGCUAGUUGGUAAGGUAACGGCUUACCAAGGCAACGAUGCGUAGCCGACCUGAGAGGGUGAUCGGCCACACUGGAACUGAGACACGGUCCAGACUCCUACGGGAGGCAGCAGUAGGGAAUCUUCCGCAAUGGGCGAAAGCCUGACGGAGCAACGCCGCGUGAGUGAAGAAGGUCUUCGGAUCGUAAAACUCUGUUAUUAGGGAAGAACAAAUGUGUAAGUAACUAUGCAC
rnacentral:rRNA from 1 species